rnacentral:rRNA from 1 species
UACGGAGGAUCCGAGCGUUAUCCGGAAUUAUUGGGUUUAAAGGGUGCGUAGGCGGCCAUUUAAGUCAGCGGUGAAAUUUUGCAGCUUAACUGUAACAGUGCCGUUGAUACUGUUUGGCUAGGAUUUGGUUGUAGUGUGCGGAAUGUGUGGUGUAGCGGUGAAAUGCUUAGAUAUCACACAGAACACCGAUUGCGAAGGCAGCACACUAAGUCAUUAUUGACGCUGAGGCACGAAAGUGUGGGGAUCAAACAGGAUUAGAUACCCU